GGGUUUGACUCUUGGAGCUUUCUAUUUACUCUGGAAAACAUAUGCAGCUAUUGCAACAGUCAUUCCAAAGCCUCACAAGUCACAAUGAAUUUUUUAAUAUUCUUCAAUUAUGCUUGCAUAUAUGGACAUAUUUGAGAUUUGAGAUACCUAUAUGCCUUAAUCUCUUCGCAGAUCUGUACGUUUCUCGUGCCUUUCUUUAUACUAUUAUGUAUUCAUCUAUGCUGAUAAAAUCUAUAAACACGAAUAUUAAUAAAAUAUGAAAGCCGUUAAAAAUAGGGUUGUUAACCAA
rnacentral:lncRNA from 1 species